AUUUUUCUCUGAAAUAACAAAAAUACCUUAACCUAGAAUCUAAUCUUCUUCUUCCCGCAGCUUCUCCAUUCCUCUCUCUCGAUCUCAUGUGAUCUUCUUCUUCUCCAUUUAUUCCUUUUCGAUAUCUCUCUCUUUGUUCCCAAGUCCUCUUCUUCAUAGAUCUAGGUGAGAAAGAUCUUCACAAAAUCGUUCCAUCGUCCAUCAAAGAUAUUCACAGAGAAAUUCUAUUGUCAUCACCAAAUCAAGCUUCUUCUUCUCUUAGCAAAGACCACCCGGCGAAGUUGUCUUCUUCUUCUUUUUUCCGCUUGUCGCAGCUGAGAGUUGAAGCACAAGAGUUACCAAUAGGCUCAAUCUUUGUUCAGCCUAAAGAAUUUUCAUAGCAAACGAGAGCGGAAGAAGAGUCACUCAAACCCACGACGAAGACGACGAACACGAGCGUAGGUGACGAUGAUGAUGACGACGACGAGACUCAACGAUUAGGAUUUGAAUAUUUAUAUUAAAAUUGUUUGUACAAUGAAUUUUAUUUUGUAUGGAAUUUAUUUGGUAUGAAGUAGGUUUCUUUUGAAUUUUAAA